GACGAACGCUGGCGGCGUGCUUAACACAUGCAAGUCGAACGGAAAGGCCCCUUUGGGGGUACUCGAGUGGCGCACGGGUGCGUAACACGUGCGUAACCUGCCCUUGACUUCGGGAUAACUUCAGGAAACUGGGGCUAAUACCGGAUAGGAAUCCUUGCUGCAUGGUGGGGGUUGGAAAGCUUCGGCGGUUUUGGAUGGACUCGCGACUUAUCAGCUUGUUGGUGGGGUAGUGGCUUACCAAGGCUUUGACGGGUAGCCGGCUUGAGAGGGCGACCGGCCACAUUGGGACUGAGAUACGGCCCAGACUCCUACGGGAGGCAGCAGGGGGGAAGAUUGCACAAUGGGCGGAAGCCUGAUGCAGCAACGCCGCGUGCGGGAUGACGGCCUUCGGGUUGUAAACCGCUUUCAGCAGGGGCGAAGCUUGUGGUGACGGUACCUGCAGAAGAAGCACCGGCUAACUACGUG
rnacentral:rRNA from 1 species